rnacentral:lncRNA from 1 species
CCCCCGCACGCGGCCGCAGGUGCUGCCGCGAUGUCCCCGGCGCGCCCAAGGCGCUGCACCUGCCCCGGCAGUGGUGGCAGUGUUCGCUGGUGCCUCCCCUCCCUGCGCCCGGGAACAAGGAAGCAACUCCAGCUACCUUCGGCCAUCACUCGGCAGCUUAGCUUCCUGCUGGCACCUUCCCCACGCCCUGAGUCCUCAGGUCCCCCACCUUGCAAGGCGUUGGGAUGCUGGCUUUGGACAUGACUCGGGGCACGGGAGGGCUGCCCCUGCUGCUGCUGAGCCUUGCUGUGCUGCAUCUCCCACUGGAGACCACUGUCAUGGGUGUGACAGCAACUGUGUCUCCACCUCUCCCUACUUCCUCAACACCUAUGGAGAGCUCAACACUGCUGCCUACCACUGACUCCAAGACCACAGCCACCCUCCUUUCCUCCAGCCCUGAAACAGAAUCCUCCACCCUAGAGGAGUCCAGCACAUCCGAAGAGACUGGCAACACCUCACCUCCCAGUGUGCCUCCUCCCUCCUCUUCAGCUGAGUCCAUGACAAGCCUGGCAGCCACAGACAGCUCUGUUAUCAACACAUCAGACCCCAUGAGCACUUCUUCAACCGACCCAGAUGGGACCACCCCUGACAUAUUCCCCUCAACUGUGGAGUCAACUCCAGACACUGAGCCCUCUUCCCCUGCCACCAGCUCAGCCCAGACCUCAGAGGCUACUACCCUCAGCACGUCUACAGAGCUGCCGACAACCUGCCCCUCUGGCUCGUCCAACACCAGUUCAUCUCACCUCUUUCUGUCACUGCGGCUAAGCACCCCUCUGGACCUGGGGAACACCACGGUGCAGGAGCUGGUGUUGUCCAAGCUCCGUGAGAACCUGCAAACAGCAUUCCCGUGUGCUGGCCUGUCACUGGCGUGGCGAGGGAAGAGGAGAACUUGACCACUGCCCCUCGCCUGGACUGCCAAGCCACCUGCUCCCAGCUCCUCACUCCGUGGUGGUGCAGGCCCCUGGGGAAUCCCACACAGCUCCUCUUGAACCUGGGGCUUCCUGUCUUUCACUCUGUACCCCCAGUCCCCUCCUGCCCCUUCCCACAGCCUGUCUGAAGAGCCUGAGCCCUCCCACCACCCUGCUCCAGACCUGGUUCCUGUGGUGGGAACCCCUCCAGCUCUGCUGGGGGGCUGGGAGAAGGGAACCCCACGGGACUGGGAUUUUACACCUGGGACUGAGCUGGCUCAGCCAUCAAAGCCACUCUGGGGACAGAGGAAUGAGGGGAAGGAGACCUGAAGCCCCCAGUACUGCUGUGCCCAAGGCUCACCUGUGAUAUUGCUGACAGAGAAGAACACCCAUGCUGGGCAGUAAAUAGAAAUUCCAUGUUUUCUGUGUUGAAGUGAUGACUUCUUUAUUUUCCAAGUUGUCUUUCCCAGUUUUCAGCUUUGCCAUCUAUUGGAGGUAGCGGUGAGGAAAACUGAGUCCCAAAAGCUUUGUGUGGAGAGACGGGCUCAGGGCUGUCCCCUCCCACCAGGGGCUGCUGCAGACAUUCCCAAGGAUGGCUCAACAGCCUGGUGGUCUCUGCUUUGGAGCUCUCUGCCCCAUGACACCCCACAGCUGCAGGGGCAGCACUGUGCACUGUGGGGCUGUGGAAAUCCCACGGGCUACUCUCCUUUCCUAUUUUUUCCAGUCCCCAACUAAGGAGAAGGCUGUAAUGUCUGUCCCCCUGCAGCAAAGUCAUUUAUUAACUGAUUAAUUAACCAGAUAAAAUCCAACUGAAGCAAUUAUUAGCCUAAGUAAGCCACCUCACCUGGAGAUUGAAAACUGAAAUAAUUAGCAAAAUAGCCUUGUUGCGUGUCAG